ACACCAGUCGAUAAUAGAUACGAAUUUGACAAAUGUGGCCACACACAUGGAAUCACAUCUAUAAGAUACAAGGUAGAGGUCAUGGUUUUUGAUGGAACAGGCAGCAUUUCUCUCUUGCUAUAGGAUAGAGAGACAAGCCAAUUAUGUGGG